rnacentral:tRNA from 1 species
UUGGCUGUAGCUCAACACUACAGUGCUUGUCUAGCAUACAGGAGGCCCUGGGUUCCAUCCCUAGCACCCAAG